GGACAGGCAUCUGGUCCACCCGUGCCCCUGGGGCACAGCCACUGUCUGGGCCUCACCACUGAGCAGGGACCUUGGCCGCUGCCCUUGUGUGGCCAAGCAGGGCUUCCUCUCCGCCAGGGCUGCGUUCCAGGUACUGGCUGUCACCUUGGACAAACUGGAAAUUUCCUCAGGUCUCACUAUGGAGCACACUGGCCACGCACUCGCAGUGACCGCCCUGCCUCAGCUUUCUGCCGGUGGAAUGACAGAAGCAGCCCCGCCAUGGUUCAGAUGUUGACCUCUGUGAAGAUUUACGGAACCGGGGCCGCCUGGUGGCCUCUGGGUCCCCCUCUCCUCUCUCAUGGACAUACAGGGAGCCCCAGGACGGAGCAGCACACAGGAGGUGGAGGCUCCAAAGAUCCGAAAGCCAGCGGCCCGGGCAAGGCCUGUUUCCACACUUCGGGGGUGAUGGUACCUGGUGACCAGGGGACCUUCCAAAACUUUCUGCCUUCCCAAAAGGGGACCCUGUCCCUCAUCUGCGCCUGCUUGGCCCCAGCAAGGCUGCCUCUGACUUCAACCCGAAGUGGGGCUCGGAAGCUGGUCUCCUCCUCCACACAGCGGGACCUGACCUUCCGUCUCUCGCCGUGUGGCCUGAAAUCCGUGUUUCUUUGGGCCCAGAGGACACUAAAAAUUUAUCAGACCAAUGAGGGUCUUAGGAGCGACUCUGGAUUAGCAAACGUCUCUCUGGAAUCGGACUCAGGACCUUCUUCCCCGGGCAGGUGCUGAGCAGCUGGGCUGAAUCCCAGCUCUCUCUUCCUGUUCUGCUCUCCUCCCCUACAGCCGGCUCCCUCCCAGGCAGAACCUGAGAUCACACCCUGGUGGCCGGUUCCUAAGCUCAGCAAGAAUGAGAACUGACUUCCUUUAUCAAGAACUUGCCUUAAAUCUAUUUUGAGUAAAGGUUUCCUUUGGGGGAAAAAAGAUGUCAGGCUGGGCAUGGUGGUGCCUGUGCCUUGGGAGGCUGAGGCAGGAGAAUCGCCAUGAGUUCGUGGUCAGUGUGAGCUGCAUAGUGAGACCCUGUCUCAAACAAAAAGUCUUCUGAGCUGCAGAUGAAGCCCUGAGAGGUUGACAUUUGAUACCAUCAGUGGACUGGGCUGAUACAAUCAGGAAUUCCAUUUGACUCAGCUAUUCCCCUUCUAGGGAUCUUAUGAAAGAGUUAAAGUCAUCAUAUUACAGUAAGCCACACAUACCUAUGCUUAUAGCUGUGCAACUCAUGGCAGCCAAAACCUGGAAGCAGCUUGUAUGUCCAGCAACAGAUGAGUGAAUAAUGAAAAUUACACACCGCGGAGUACUACUGUGCCAUGAAGAAGGAUAAGCUUGGGUCACGGGUAGAACAGUGGAUUCACCUUGAGACCAUAACUUUACGUGAAGUGAAGCAGGCACAGGAGUUGAAACAUAAUAUGGUUUCCCUUUUAAUGGGAAACCCAAAGCAUAAACAAACAGCAAAGUAGACGGUACAGGACGCAGGGACAGAUCUUUAUCAGAGGGGAAGGGGACAGGAGACAGCGGGGGGGCAGGGGAACAGGACUUGAGAUGCGUCCUCUCCCUGAGCCAACGCCACACAGUGGGGUAAUGCAAUGAGUAAAAAUACUAGAACUCUCGGUGGAGCAGGUGCCGUCCUCCGGUGACCUCAGCGGAGCCAGCCCCAAGCAGGAGGGAUGUCCGGGGGGAGGCCGGGAUUCCGCCCCAGAGGUGGGCGGCUGGGAGCACAAAGGAAGACGUGGCCAUCCACGGUGACCGCCCCGUGGGGUGGGGAGGGGCAGGGACAGCCACAGUCCCCUGGGGAGGUGCAGGCCUGGACCCCCCGUACGUCAGCUUGAGCCUGUGUGGGCGCCGUGGUGCCCGCUCUGCCACCGUCGGGCUUGUUGCCUCCAGCAUCUAAACUGGCCUUUUCUGCUUUUUCCUCAUCAGCUGGAACCUGGCGCCCUUUUUGUACAGAAAUUCUUUUUGGGGGAAAGAGUUGAGACAGGGGUCACUAUGUAGCCCAGUGUGGCGGCGACGCUCCUGCCUCAGCCUCCUGAGGGCUGGCAUCCCAGGUGCCGUAAGCACCGCCGUGGUGUCGCCGGCCUUUCGCCUGUGUGUGCCUUGAGGACCUCUAGGUGAGGAGCUGUGGAAACGUUCUGUAGUGAAGACAAUCUUGCAGGAUUGGUUUUCUUUCUUUCUUUCUGGUCUCAAGAGUUCAGAGAAGUCCCCGAAACCCAGGCAAGGCUGGGAGAGGCCCUGGAAAGGCAGGAAGCCCCAGGAACAUGUGGGACGGGGUGCGGGGUAGGCAUGGGUGCUGGGGGUCCGGGCCCUUGAGCAACCUGUUUGUCAGGUUUACAUUCUCAGACUUGGUGCACUCCAGGUCAAACCAAGGACAAAAUAGAGCCAGCCCUCCCAGCCAGACCAGGCCAUGGGGCGGGGCAGAGGCAGCCCCUGGGGUCCCUGCAGAGAUGCGGAUUCCCAUAGCCUCCUGCACCCCUCUCCUAAGGACCACGGGUGACUCCCUCACCCCCCACCCCAUCCUGCAGCUCAGAUGAGGCCACCUCCCCAGGCAUGGUGGCGCACGCCUGCGAGCCCAGCACUCGAGAGGCUGAGACAGGGUGGUCUCCCCUAGGUCUCUGACCUUCCUCAGUGGGCCCUUGACCGAGUGCCCAGGAGCAUCGUCUUAGGAAUGGAAGCUGGGGGAAGGUUUUAUGUGUGGUCAAGGUGACCCUGUCGAUUCCAAGUUUUUGUGGCGUCUGAACGGAUACCUAAGGUUCACUGGUGCAGAACCGGACGCAAACCCAUUGGGAAUUGCUCUUUUUCUUUAAAUUAGCUCUUUUCCGCCUGCUCCCCUGCCCUGAGCUCUCAGCUCUUGCUAAGCCAGCGCGGCCACCACCUCCGUCAGCCACCACCAUGAUGAUCUAUGGGGACCUCACAGCCAGGAUGAGAUGUUCUCCGACAGGCACAAGAUCCGGGAGACGGUGGAUGGGCUGCACCUGGAGGUGGAGGGCGGGGUGGUCCGUGGCACAGAGGGUGACACUGGUGGCUCCCUCACUGGUGGAAUGUCUCUGCUGGAGGCCCCAAGGGCACCAAGAGCACAGAAGUCACUGGUGUUUAUUGUCACCAACCAUCACUUGCAGGAACAGCUUCACCUACAAGAAGUACACCGAAGAUUAUACGCAAUCAACCCAAAGCAAACCUGAAGAACGAGGACCAGAAAGAGCAACGCCGCUUAGGACAGGGCUGCAGUGUGGACCAGGCACAGCCUUGCUGACUGCAAAACCUGCCAGUUCUUUAUUGACGCAGCCGUGAAUCCGAGGGCUGGGCGGCUGUCUGGACAACCGUGAGCAUGGGGAGACCCCACGUCUGAUUCCCUUCCAGGAUGGCUCAGCAGUGGAAGAGUGUUCGUGGGUUCCGUGGUGAUUCCAUGGUGAAAUCCUAUCGCCAGGAUUUUAAACAAAUGGGACUGAGGUUGUCUUGGGGCUUCAUUUAUUUUGACCGUGACUUAUUUGGAGUGGAGGUAUUAUCUUUUAGGGAAAAACGCAUGUCAUGCAGGUUGUCUAAAAAUAAAGUGCAUUUAAACGCC